GAAAAGAACUUUGAAAAGAGAGUUAAACAGUACGUGAAAUUGUUGAAAGGGAAACGAUUAAAGUCAGUCGUACGGACGGGGAAUCAGCCUUUCGAGCGUUGGAUACGCGGGAUUUCGGAGAGCCUUCGACCUCGCGUAUUUGGGUUCUUUUGGUGUACUUUCCCGUGACGUAGGUCAGCGUCGGUUUCGAUCGUCAUAAAAUGAUCGGGGGAAUGUGGCUUCGACCUCGGUUGAAGUGUUAUAGCCCCUGUUAGAUGUGACGGUUGGGAUCGAGGAUUGCAACGGAUGCUCAAACGGGCUACCCGUCUGGCCUCUGAUACGUUACUUCGGCGUUGAAAGCGUGCUUACGAUGUUGAAGUGAGCGGUCAAAAGGUUAGAACGGGUUAAAUUCGUUAAGGAU
rnacentral:rRNA from 1 species